rnacentral:rRNA from 1 species
AGUGAACGCUGGCGGUGGGCCAAAACAAUCCAGUUCAAACGGAAGCCAGGUAAGAGCUUGCUCUUAGGGGUGGCGAGUGGCGGCCGGGUGAGGAAUAAAUCGGAAUCUCUUUUUUCGGGGGGGAUAACGAGGGGAAACUAACGUUAAUACCCAUUACGACCUACGGGUGAAAGAAGGGAAUCUUCGGACUUUGCGCGUUUAAUUGAGCCGAUGUCGGAUUAGCUAGUUGGCGGGGUAAAGGCCCACCAAGGCGACGAUCCGUAGCUGGUCUGAGAGGAUGAUCAGCCACACUGGAACUGAGACACGGUCCAGACUCCUACGGGAGGCAGCAGUGGGGAAUAUUGGACAAUGGGCGCAAGCCUGAUCCAGCCAUACCGCGUGGGUGAAGAAGGCCUUCGGGUUGUAAAGCCCUUUUGUUGGGAAAGAAAAGCAGCAGGUUAAUACCCCGCUGUUCUGACGGUACCCAAAGAAUAAGCACCGGCUAACUUCGUG